ACUACCCAAACAAACAUCUCAAAUUCUGGUUUCCUGUAAGGCGAUUUUCCCAUUUCUAACCAAACACAAGAAA
rnacentral:ribozyme from 1 species